UAACAUCACAAAUUUUUUAUGUCAAUGUAUAGUACUUUUUCAUUUCAACUUUGCUCACUGUCCAGUUGCAGAGUAUAUUACAAUUAAAUGUUUUGAACUUUUCAUUUUUUCUAGGGUUAACAACUGCCAUACUUUUGUUUUUCUUAGCUUUUUUAAGAACCUCAACUUCUUAGGAGAACUAUAAACUUCUUCUCAAUAAUGAUCAAACACAUCAGAUAAUUAAUUCACCACUUGCUUUGAUUUUGUUCUCCUUUGGAGAUAUCCUUCCUGGAAUAUUUUGUCCUCCUCCUCCAAUCUAAACUGGAUGCUUUCUAAGCCUGAUGGAUAGUGGUCCUUCCCCAUCUCUUGGACAUUUCCUGGUGUCUAUCAACAUUUUGACUGAAUAUAUCCUCUUCCAGUGGUUUCUUAAGAAUGAAUGCAUAGAAGGUUACAAUUUUUAAACCUGGCAUUUUUGAGUGUCAAUAUUCUAACUUUAUGCUCAACUUACAGUUCAUCUAGGAAUAGAAUUCUAAAUGGAAAAAAAAAUUUUCUUCAACAUUUUGAAGGUAUUAUUUCAUGGCAUUUGAAAGCAAUGUCGCUGGCAUCCAGUGUCGCUACUGACAGUUUUUCAAAGCUGUUUUGAAUAAUAGCCUCUUCUUGUUUAAUGGAAGCAACAUCUUAUCCCUAAGCAAGCACGGUGACCAUAUUUUCCAUAGAAUCAGGACACAUUAUCUGACAAGUGAUUUAUAGGCAGCCUCCAGGUGCAAAAAGGAGUCGGUGUUAUAAAAGUUUCAACAUCAAAAUAUUGGAACUCCAAGGAUAGCUGGAUGACUUUACUGGAAAAAGCACAUUUGGCACCACUCCCUGUAAGACUGUGAGUUACUCAAGAGGGGGAACUAGACAUUACACCUCUUUUGAAGUUCUCUCCAUACCCAGCAUGACUACUAAAUCCACUACUGAGUGGAUGGAUGGUUGGCUGAUCUCUCUUCUCUCCCAGCUCAAGUGUCAUUUCAGAGACACCUUUCUUGAUUUCCCAAAUGAGGUCAUGCUGUUAUGUUCUCAUGGCACUGUGUGUUCUUCCUUCAGGGUCUUAUCACACUGUAUCAUUCAUUCUAUGCAUGGUUACUCUCAUCUGUCCCAGCAAUAGGCUGUAUCUGCUGCCCCCAGAAAGAACUAUAAUGGUUUGGUUCACCGAUGAAUCACCAACUGCUAGCACUCUGCUUGGCACACACUAGGUGAUCAAUAAUAUGUAUUUUUAAAUUAAUGACACAGUCUCUUUGGUAGGUCCCAGGACUCCAUAUUUCUCCCUUGCAUCAACAUUUUUAUUAAUUACUUGAAUGAAGAUUACACAAGUCUGCUCAGGAGAACUGAAGUUGGCAUCAAUACUGGCCCCCAGAGAGCUGCAGAGCAUAACAUGUUAGCUAACAGAAUCAACAUUCUAAAGGACCAAAGGUCCAAAUAAAUAGAAAUGAAAAGAGAACAAGUCAUGGGAAGGUUCUAAAUCCUCAACUAGGCAAAAUCUGAGGUGGCGGUAGCUCACGUGUAAAAGGAGCUGGGCCAAAGUCUCCUAAAUGUUACUCACUCUCAAGCCACUAACAAAGCACAGUGUCCAAAUAAGGAGAAGGCAGUCCCAUUCAGCCUGACCACCAGAUACAAGUGCCACACAUUAAUGGAACACUGAUGAAGGGGCUCAUGAUCUGCAAAGUGGUCACUGCCCUGUUGGCACCUUGUAGGUGUUCAACAGAAAUUUACUGAAGGAACAUAGAGAUUAACUGAUGGAAGUAGAUAUACUUAGCCUGAAAUAAAACAGACCAAAUAAGAGCGUAUCUGUUUUAAAUAUAUGAAGAGCUCUUAUCUAACAGACUCUCUGUGAUGUGCAGCUCCAGAGGACAGAACAGGGAUAUAUGGGUCCAUCAUGUAGGCAGGCAGAUUUAGGCUCAUACAAGGAGGGAUAACAUAAAUGUAACAUGGUAGAUCCCCAUCUGCACAAGCGUCCAUAAGGAGGCUAGAGAACCAUCUGGCUGGGAUGUUGUCAGUCAGGGAUACCUUCCAACCCAAGUCCCAGUUUUCUAAGAAUUUAAUGGAACUGAAUGCAUUAAGGUGAGAGAGGACAUGAAAGAAAUAUUCCAUUUGUAACAUAAAUAACCUUUGUGCUACAAAUACAGAGCUUAGAAUGAUGCAUUCCUUGAAGGGUUUCAUAAACUCACUCACGAAACUAUCUGGUCUAGCAUCUUUUCAGGAUGUAUUUCCUCAACCUUUCCAGUUUCUUCCACGAAACUUUUCACGUUUUCAAUUUCUUUUUUAGUCAAUUUUGGCAGCUCCUAUUUUCUUCGAAAAAUCUGUUUCUUUCAAGAUUUUCAAGUGUAUUAUCAAAGUUAAACAUGAAAAUGUCAUUUUUGUCAACUCCAGAUCAGUGGUUAGAGUCUCAUUUCUACAUUUUGUGUUUUUCUUUGGUUGGCAUGGUUAGGUUUACCUAUGUCAUAUUUCCAAGAAUAGUCCUUAAAUUUAUUAAGUAAUAUCAUUUUCCUACUUCAUAAUGAACUUACUUCUUCUAUAUAAAUAUCUUGCUUCUGUUUUUCUUCAGUUUGUUCUAUUCUUUGAUUUUAUGAGUUGAAAGCAUGGUUCAUUAAUUUUUAGUAUUUUUUUGUUCAAUAAUAAAAGCAUUAAAGUCUACACAUAUAUCUCUGAUAUUGGCUUUAUCCUGUUAUAAACUACUCAAAAAGUAAGACUGUUUUCAUAUGUAGUAACUAUUACCAGUUAGAAAAAGUACACACACACACACACACACACACACCCACACACACACACACACUUCAUCUAGGAAUAAACUUAGUAAGUGUAAAGUUCCCAUAUAAUGACAGUUUCAAAACUUUCUAAACAACGUAUGUUUUGAAUCAAUAAUGAAAAGUACUUUGCCCUUGAUUUCAAAGUAAUCAGUGGGAUUAUGCUAUUAGAUAUGGAAAUGUUAAAAAGCUAUAAUAAUUAAAACCAUUUUGGUUCUGAUACAAGAGUAUACAUAGUGGUUAGUAAAAUAGUCCAGAAAAUCCUAAAACAAAUUUUACACAUGAGACUUUAGUAUAUGAUAAAAGUGGCUUCAAAUUAAUGGGAAAAAUUGGAUUAUUAAAUAUGGAUCACUUGAAAAAAAUCUUAGUCAGAUCCCUGCCUCACACUAUACAUAGAAACAUCCAUUUUGGUUGAAAUAAAAUAUUAAAA